rnacentral:rRNA from 1 species
UACGUAGGGUGCAAGCGUUAAUCGGAAUUACUGGGCGUAAAGCGUGCGCAGGCGGUUUUGUAAGCCAGAUGUGAAAGCCCCGGGCUCAACCUGGGAACUGCGUUUGGAACUACAAGACUAGAGUGUGUCAGAGGGGGGUGGAAUUCCGCGUGUAGCAGUGAAAUGCGUAGAUAUUUGGAGGAACACCGGUGGCGAAGGCGGCCAUCUGGACCACUACUGACGCUGAGGCGCGAAAGCGUGGGGAGCAAACAGGAUUAGAUACCCGUGUAGU